rnacentral:rRNA from 1 species
GCUAUAUCACCCUGUAGCCCAAGACUAAUCAGCCACUGAAGCUAAGCAGGGUUGAGCCUGGUCAGUACCUGGAUGGGAGACCUCCUGGGAAAACUAGGUUGC